rnacentral:sRNA from 1 species
GUGAUCUGUGGCGGCUGCUGCAGAGCCGCCAGGAGGAGGGUGGAUCUCCCUAGAGCAAAGCGUCGGAGUCCUCCUCCUCCUUCUCCUCCUCCAGCCGCCCAGGCUCCCCCGCCACCCGUCAGACUCCUCCUUCGACCGCUCCCGGCGCGGGGCCUCCCAGGCGACAAGGACCGAGUACCCUCCGGCCGGAGCCACGCAGCCGCGGCUUCCGGAGCCCUCGGGGCGGCGGACUGGCUCGCGGUGCAGGGAGCAGAUUUUAAGAGUAAAAGAAGAUGAGAAUGUUCCAUUUCUACUGGUUGGUAACAAAUCAGAUUUAGAAGAUAAAAGGCAGGUUUCUGUAGAAGAGGCAAAAAACAGAGCUGAGCAGUGGAAUGUUAACUACGUGGAAACAUCUGCUAAAACACGAGCUAAUGUUGACAAGGUAUUUUUUGAUUUAAUGAGAGAAAUUCGAGCGAGAAAGAUGGAAGACAGCAAAGAAAAGAAUGGAAAAAAGAAGAGGAAAAGUUUAGCCAAGAGAAUCAGAGAAAGAUGCUGCAUUUUAUAAUUAAAGCCCAAACUCCUUUCUUAUCUUGACCAUACUAAUAAAUAUAAUUUAUAAGCAUUGCCAUUGAAGGCUUAAUUGACUGAAAUUACUUUAACAUUUUGGAAAUUGUUGUAUAUCACUAAAAGCAUGAAUUGGAACUGCAAUGA